rnacentral:rRNA from 1 species
UACGUAGGGGGCAAGCGUUGUCCGGAAUCAUUGGGCGUAAAGCGCGCGUAGGCGGCCCGGUAAGUCCGUUGUGAAAGUCAAAGGCUCAACCUUUGAAUGCCGACGGAUACUGCCGGGCUAGAGUACGGAAGAGGCGAGUGGAAUUCCUGGUGUAGCGGUGGAAUGCGCAGAUAUCAGGAGGAACACCUAUAGCGAAGGCAGCUCGCUGGGACGUUACUGACGCUGAGGCGCGAAAGCGUGGGGAGUGAACAGG